UGGUAUUGCACUUGAUAGUUCACACACACCACUACCAAAUAUGGUAUGUACCGCCCCUUCCUUGUCCCCAUGAAGUAUGUAUUCAAAUACUAAGAACUUUUUUCAGUGUUAGUCAACAAUUAGGCUAUUGGAAACGUUUAUUUGCAACAGAUGCCAACUACAGUGCUAAGAAUUAUACUUUUUUAAUUACAUUUUAAUUAAAAUGUAUUUAUUCAAUACAAAAUGCAGCUUAUAGGAAUUGCUUUAUAAUUAAUUGAGUGCUGGAUUGAAAGAAUAUAUUUCUUGAUCUAGUAAAAGCAAUAAAACAUGGCUUCUUAUUAGUGAAUUAGCAUUUAUAGAUAUGAUAUUUUGCCAUAACAAUAAUAAGAUUAAUCAUAUAUUCCCGAUUGUUGUCUUAGAUUCAAUAGAUUGUUGUCUUAUUGUCUAAGAGUCCAAACAAUACAUUUUUCCAAUGCUAGUAAGAGGCUUGUGACUUUGGCCGUUUGCUUUUAAUGUGAAAUCAGACAGGAAGUCAAAUGUACCUUCAGGUUCAACCUCAGCCUAGAAGAAGAGCCUUUUAUCUCUGUGAAACCGUCGAAUUCGAUGCAUAUUAAGGAUUUACCCGGAGCAAGUGGCGUGUACAUUUGAAAUGCCACCAAGAAUCAGUCCCCUCACAGAUGCCUGUCACCAUGUCGGUUUAAAGACUGACAAUACAUGGAAACUGGAGGUGAAGUACAUCAAUGCAGUAAAAGGGCGUGGGGUGUUCGCCAUAGGUUCAUUCUCCAAAGGAGAUUUUAUAGUGGAAUGCAGGGGAGAUUUGAUAAGCGAUGGUGAAGCUCAAAAGAGAAGAAGAAAUUAUAACCCUGCAUGUUCUGGAUUUUUGUUCGCGUUCAAGUUGGGAGGCAAAACAUGGUGCAUUGACGCCUCUAGAGAAGAUGGUUCCUUCGGCCGCUUGGUGAACGAUGACCACAGACAUCCCAAUUGCAGGAUGAAGAGAAUAGACAUUGCAGGAAGCACACACCUCUGUCUCUUUGCUCUCCAAGACAUAAAAGAAGGUGAAGAAAUUGCAUAUAAUUAUGGAGGAGAGGACUGCCCAAGCAGAUGACUACAUGUGAACCUGACACGCCCUGUGUGAGCUCCCAGUCUGUGCUCAUGUCAGAGCCACAAUGGGAUGAAGCUGCCUGGUUAGAGGACACUGGUCAACAGAAGAGGAAACUGUUGGAGGCACGGAGGGGGAAUAAAAUCCCAGCAAAACAGAGACGCAAACUGCCACCAGCAGAAGAUGGAGCAUCUUCUACAGUCUGUGCUGUGAGCCAUGUUCUUCCAAAGGCUGCAGGAAUCGGUCUGUUUCUUUUCUUUGUAAACUGACUCGAUUGCAGCUUUUCUGCACCACCGCCUGGUCUCGUCUGCUUUCUAGGUGAGGCGUAGUUCCUCUUGCGUGUUUCAACUAACCUAUUUGUUUGUCCCUGUGAUGACGUUAAUUUUCAUGGCUACUUGGAUGCAUGUUAAUGCAGGAGUCAACCAACUGACUGAGAGCGGAACACUCCAAUCAAUAAUUUUUUUUAUAGCACCUUUCAUACAGUUAGUGCAGUUCAAAGUGCUUCACAGAUGGCUGAGAAAGCAGAUAAUAGGACAUAUAUUAAUUGAAGAUGAAAGAAAGAUUGCAGUCAAAAGAAUUAUGACAAGAAAAUAAAAAUGUUAAAUAAGAAAAAGAAAGCUGCCAUAAUAUCGAAGACAUAAUGCUACUGUUGCUAAAAAACAAAAAUAAGGAAUUAAUAUUAUAGUCUCUAAAUGAAAGUGUGUGGCAUGUAAUACAAUAAAAAGUUUAGUUGACACUUUACAAUAAGGUGUACUAAUGAGCAGAUCACUGAGGAUUGUUGAUGCAGGACAUGAAACUUAUAGGAACUGUAUCUCCUUCCUGAUACUUUCAUGUAAACAUCUGUUUUUCUACUCAUUUACAGGAAAGGCUCCACUCAAAAGGGAACCAUGGCAGCCAGCAGAGAUAAAGGCCGUCGAGAGGCACAUAAAGGCUUUAAUACAUGCUUGCACUGUGCCAAAAAUGUCUAACUAAACAAAAUCUCUCUGUGGCGAAGAAGUUAAAGCUGCGUCACGCUUUGAACUAAACACUUUUUCCAUCUAGUGUCGACUAGGGGUGAAACGGAUCAGUGUGUCCACGGUUUCGGAUACGGUUCGGAUUAGGAUCAUGUCCGUGAUAGUAAAUAGGCGGACUUUUUUUUGACGGAGGGUUUGGGGGAGAAACACAAAAAUGAAUGAGACACACAGGCUAUUUGCAAUGUGUUAAUUGACUGCAAUCAGACAACUUGCAAGGCUUUUUUGUGCAAUAAAUGUUCCCCUAAAUGCAUUUGAAAACAUGGUGCACUGAGUGUAACAUGUAAGGGAUAACGGCCGACGAGGCUUAGAACUCUGGCGACGAGCGCAGCAUGAAGCCAGAGUUGCCUCUACCUGUCCAUUAUUUCCAUCGAACCGGUCGACCUCGAAGGCCGUUAUCCCGCUUAUCACCUGUUUGUAUUUAUCUCCCGUAUAUUUAGAAUAUAAUUGUAUCAAUUACUUUCUUUAAAUUUAGGAAUCGUGCGCUUGAAAAGCCCAGUUUGUUUUGAACGCUGACAGGAUGAAGGGAGGGGCGGGAAAAGUCUCAUUGGCUCGGGCAGCACUGGAGAGAAUGCAUUCCGCUGGGUCCUAAACACCCUUUUGUAUCGGACGUAGGCUACAGUAGGCAAAAUACGCUACAUAAGGCAAUGCCUUCAUGAAACCGAAAUCCGCGGAUCUCCAGAAUGCUCCGAACUGUGGUAAACGAACCGAACGGAUUCGGAUACAAUUCGAAUCCGCUGCAGGCCUAGUGUCGACUGGGUUUUUGGAUUGUCGGUGCCAUUAAAGUAGCAUUAAUAAUCGUCGUAAUAAUCCUAACGAUUAUUAAUGCUACUUUAACGGCAUAGACAUUCCAAAAACCCAGUCGACACUAGAUGGAAAAAGUGUAUAGAUCAAAACGUGAUGCAGCUUCCCUUUUUUUCUUCGCAACCUACAGACUUUGUUAUGUACGAUUAUUCAAACACGCCAUGUUAUUUAAUAUAGACAUUUGACCGAGGGAACCGGAGCCUCAGACGUCGAACUUAUUCUCUCGAGGUCUAUGUGACUUCCAUUUAUAUUGUGACUAUUCUGUAUCUUGAUGCCUCUUCCUGGCCCACAAGGAUACACCAGCAGGUUCUGACAUGUAUUAACCGCACUCUGAUGGCUCGAGUCUGUGUGUGAUGUGUGUCUAUGCUAAUGUGGGUAUGUGCUGGUAUACUUUUAAAAAUAAAGUAUCAAUGCAUCUAAUUCUCCAUCCGUCUCUGGUGCUAUUUACUGUGGACCCACACCUGUUUGGGAGAUCCCUCCCAUGUGUGAGGGUGGCAUCGAUGGUGUUGGUAAAAUAAAAACCCAUACACACACAUAGUGCACGGUAAUAUCAUGAAAUAAGUUGGUAUCACGCCACAUAUAGAUGGUGGAUGGCCAAGAGGAACAUUUGCAGAGGGCAUGGCCGCCCCUGGUUCCAGGGGCUCUCGGAAAUUGAGAGGUUAAAACACCUUGGCCCUCUGGCUAUACUCUACAAUUUUCAUUGUUUUAUGUACAAUCAGGUCCCCAUUAGUCACCAAAUAAUCUGUGUGAAAUAUUCUAAUUUAUGUAAAUGAUGUCCCCUGAAAGCAUGUUUACUGGUUCUUCCGGAAGUCCCCAUAAAGCCUGGUUAAACCAUCACUUCAUCAUUUCAGAGUUUUGAAGUUGUGUAUAGGUUAACUAAGCUAUGGCAAGUUUACUGAAUUUUGUUCAGCUCUCUACAACCUCUGGAAAGGGUGAUCCUCACAAGUGAUGAUUAUAAAGGUCGUCCUCAUGAGUUAUGAAAACCAGUAUGUGUGUGUUAUACAUUUAAUUUAGAGGCGCCUUUCAAGACACCCAAGGUCACCUUACAGAGCAUAUAGUCAUCAUAAAUCGUUUAAAAAACAAGACAUUGUGGAAAAAAUAAAAUAAAAUAAAAAAAUAAACAUAAUAAAUAAAAAAUAAUAAAUAAAACAUAAACAAGACACGUAGUGUAUACCUGGAAAAAUACCACCUUUUCUGAAAUACUUACAGCAAGAGUAAUGAAGUAAUGGAAGUCAUAGUCAGAAGUCAGUAGUCAACCAUAUUAUUAAGAGUUUUUAACUUGAACUGAUUGUUUAAACUGAUUGAUUUAUUGAACUGAUUCAUAGGCAGUAGUCAACUAUAUAAUUAGUUUUUAACUUGAACUGAUUGUUUAAACUGAUUGAUUGAUUGAAUGAACUGAUUCAUAGUCAGUAGGCAACUAUAUAAUUAGAGUUUUUAACUUGA